UACAGAGGGUGCAAGCGUUGUUCGGAAUUAUUGGGCGUAAAGGGCGCGUAGGCGGCCUGGCAAGUGGAAGGUGAAAUCCCUCGGCUUAACCGAGGAACUGCCCUCCAAACUGCUUGGCUUGAGUCCGGGAGAGGUGAGUGGAAUUCCCAGUGUAGCGGUGAAAUGCGUAGAUAUUGGGAGGAACACCAAUGGCGAAGGCAGCUCGCUGGAACGGUACUGACGCUGAGGCGCGAAAGCGUGGGGAGCAAACAGG
rnacentral:rRNA from 1 species